CUUAACACAUGCAAGUCGAGCGGGCGUAGCAAUACGUCAGCGGCAGACGGGUGAGUAACGCGUGGAACGUUACCUUUUGGUUUCGGGAACCAACACAGGGAAACUUGUGCUAAUACCGGAUAAGCCCUUACGGGGAAAGAUUUAUCGCCGAAAGAUCGGCCCGCGUCUGAUUAGCUUGUUGGUGAGGUAACGGCUCACCAAGGCGACGAUCAGUAGCUGGUCUGAGAGGAUGAUCAGCCACAUUGGGACUGAGACACGGCCCAAACUCCUACGGGAGGCAGCAGUGGGGAAUAUUGGACAAUGGGGGAAACCCUGAUCCAGCCAUGCCGCGUGAGUGAUGAAGGCCCUAGGGUUGUAAAGCUCUUUUGUGCGGGAAGAUAAUGACGGUACCGCAAGAAUAAGCCCCGGCUAACUUCGUG
rnacentral:rRNA from 1 species